CUAGUAUUAAUUAAAAAGGGGGAUAAAUACUUUGAGAAAACAAAGUAUAUAAAAAGGCCAAAUUAACGGGACUUAAAAACAUAACAGGUUAUAAUUUCCCGAACCCGUUAAAAUAACUAGGAGUAAUUAACCUAGUUAGUGGCUUGUGAUUAAGUGACUAAUGGUGAGGCAUAGCUUUAUUUGAUCAAAAGAAAACCCGAGGGACCAAAACCGUUAAAAAUGGUAAACUUGAAAGAUUAAAACAAAAUAAACACCACCAAACACACACUUAGGUGUGUUUGGUCGAUUAAAAACGCAGGGAACGAGCAGGAGCUUCACACAAACCCUAACUCUCACUAAAUCAAUCAAUUGAAGGCUCUAAUCUGGUCCAAAUCGAAAUCCGAGCACGUAUUAGUGAUCCCCACUGAAAAAGGAGUCACAAGUUUGACUCUAAACAAGCUAGGUGGGAGCUUGGAAAGGAACGGGUCAAACGAAUGAUGGAUGCGAAGGAUGUUUGCGCGGACGCGAGGUAAGUAAAGCUUACACUUUUUUUAUACGUAUUUACUUUAUAGAUUAUAGACACGACCAAGGUUAUAUCCGAAAUAUGGGUUCCGACACGAAAUGAUACGGGUCGGGAAGAAUAAAAGGAUAAAAACCAUGUUUAAUGACAAAAGGGGCGAAAUGGGUUAAAUAAUGAAAUGGUAAAUAAAUACCAUUCAAAUAUAAGUGCAAAAUGUUGGUCGUUUAGACUAAACAGGUCAAAUGGUAAUGUUAACACCAUUUGACGAAUAACGACUAACAAGUGCAUGUCAAGUCUAAUGCUCACAGGGUAAAACGGCUUAUGGAAUUUACGUGGCUAUGAAUCAGCAAAUUAUUAAGGAAAGGUAUUAAAACGGGUCAAUACUUUGACCCGCGCCAGGUACGUGUAAAUUUGGUGAAGAUAUGUGAAUACCUUAAUGUAGAAAAAUGACAUGUUAAAGUAGAGAGUGGGAUUUAAACUUAAAUGAUUAAAUUUUCUCUAACGGGUCAAAAUAUGCAUUUAAGCAUAGACGGGUCAAAAUCUUGUAAAAAGGUAAUAAGCCGAAUGCAUAAAAGUCUAAAAAAAUUAUUAAGUCGGAUGUCGGACUUUAACUCCAUAUGAUGGAGAAUCAAAUUACAAACAUGUAGGAAGAAAUGGUAGGUGAAACGGACAAGCGAAUUUAAAGAUACGAAAGAUUUCGUGUCAAUUACGGCAAAAUGGAGAGGCUUAACGCAGGGGCCACCGUAACUUACGGUGCCACCGUAAGUUACGGUGGAGCUGAAUUAUUUACGGUGGUUGCUUACUGUUGUACGGUAGGAAAAUUUUAUUACAGAGGCCACCGUAACUUACGGUGCCACCGUAAGUUACGGUGGAGGUUAUUUCAACUUUUUGUUUUUGGAAUCAAUGGUUUCCCGGACUCAUUUGGACACGUUUUAAAACCCGUAAGACUAAAGCAUUUCGUGUUUAUGAAAUGUAGGUACAUUUUGGAUGCCGGAAGACGAUCAAGCUCGACGAAGGACCGAACACGAUAUAGAUACAUGCUUCCGCACUCUAACACAUUGCAAAUUUUUAACAACGAAUUCAACCACGUUAUGUAGAAUAACUUAUGAAUUGUAAAAGUUUUAAUAAAUUCGUAUUUUUAUAGUAUGUGUAGGCUUAACUACACAUCUAA